rnacentral:tRNA from 1 species
UCCCUGGUGGCUCAGACAGUAAAGCGUCUGCCUGUAGUACAGAAGACCCAGGUUCGAUCCCUGGGUUGGGAA